rnacentral:rRNA from 1 species
UAAGCCUGUGAAGGUGUGUCGUGAGGCAUGCUGGAGGUAUCAGAAGUGCGAAUGCUGACAUAAGUAACGAUAAAGCGGGUGAAAAGCCCGCUCGCCGGAAGACCAAGGGUUCCUGUCCAACGUUAAUCGGGGCAGGGUGAGUCGACCCCUAAGGCGAGGCCGAAAGGCGUAGUCGAUGGGAAACGGGUUAAUAUUCCCGUACUUGGUGUUACUGCGAAGGGGGGACGGAGAAGGCUAUGUUGGCCGGGCGACGGUUGUCCCGGUUUAAGCGUGUAGGUGUGUGUUCCAGGUAAAUCCGGUUCACUUUAACACUGAGGCGUGACGACGAGGCACUACGGUGCUGAAGCAACAAAUGCCCUGCUUCCAGGAAAAGCCUCUAAGCAUCAGGUAACAUCAAAUCGUACCCCAAACCGACACAGGUGGUCAGGUAGAGAAUACCAAGGCGCUUGAGAGAACUCGGGUGAAGGAACUAGGCAAAAUGGUGCCGUAACUUCGGGAGAAGGCACGCUGACACGUAGGUGAAGUGAUUUACUCAUGGAGCUGAAGUCAGUCGAAGAUACCAGCUGGCUGCAACUGUUUAUUAAAAACACAGCACUGUGCAAACACGAAAGUGGACGUAUACGGUGUGACGCCUGCCCGGUGCCGGAAGGUUAAUUGAUGGGGUCAGCGCAAGCGAAGCUCCUGAUCGAAGCCCCGGUAAACGGCGGCCGUAACUAUAACGGUCCUAAGGUAGCGAAAUUCCUUGUCGGGUAAGUUCCGACCUGCACGAAUGGCGUAAUGAUGGCCAGGCUGUCUCCACCCGAGACUCAGUGAAAUUGAACUCGCUGUGAAGAUGCAGUGUACCCGCGGCAAGACGGAAAGACCCCGUGAACCUUUACUAUAGCUUGACACUGAACAUUGAGCCUUGAUGUGUAGGAUAGGUGGGAGGCUUUGAAGUGUGGACGCCAGUCUGCAUGGAGCCGACCUUGAAAUACCACCCUUUAAUGUUUGAUGUUCUAACGUGGACCCGUGAUCCGGGUUGCGGACAGUGUCUGGUGGGUAGUUUGACUGGGGCGGUCUCCUCCUAAAGAGUAACGGAGGAGCACGAAGGUUGGCUAAUCCUGGUCGGACAUCAGGAGGUUAGUGCAAUGGCAUAAGCCAGCUUGACUGCGAGCGUGACGGCGCGAGCAGGUGCGAAAGCAGGUCAUAGUGAUCCGGUGGUUCUGAAUGGAAGGGCCAUCGCUCAACGGAUAAAAGGUACUCCGGGGAUAACAGGCUGAUACCGCCCAAGAGUUC